rnacentral:misc_RNA from 1 species
UGCAACCCUUCUAAUGCACGCCUUGUGCUGGUGGGCCUNGNNGUUCACUUGUGGUUCUUGUGUUGCCUACCCAUUUAGCGGUAUCGGUGUCCCGCGAAGACCCGUUCCUUCCACGCCCCCUCGUGGAGGUUGAUGGGGGAAUUCUAAUUUGACGUGUGUUUUGCGUUAGUUGUGCGUUGUAACGGCUCACGUGGCCACACGUGUUUGUUGUUCCCUUGGAUGCGGUGCAUGCGGUGAACGUGGGCUGGUGUUUUUGCCUCGUUAAGUCCCUAUGAUAUAUCGGUUGCCUUUUCAAGACACUUUGCCGUAGUGCCGGUCUUGCUAUCCCAUUGGUGGUAGCAACAUUUGCACGUCGUGCAUAGUCGUCAAUGGAUGCUACCUGGUUGAUC